UUAUUGUGUUCAUAUAAAGUACUCACAGUGUUUCAGGGCCUUUUUUCUUUUGAUUCAUUGAUCUGUUGGGUAAAGAAAAAACAAAAACAAAAACAAAAACAAAAACAAAAAAACAUUGUCAGUGUGUGGGGGAAAAAAUGAAAUUGUGUCUGGUGGCAAAAUCUUUAGCUCUCAAAGACAAAGAAAAUUGGAUCAACGUGUUUUAGAACACUUUCAGACCUGUAUCCAGUGUGCGCUGUUAGCGCUUUCAUUUAUGAGAGCUAAUCACUACAAGUGAACCAGAUCACAAAGGGACAGUCACUGACACCAGAGCAAUUACGUUGUACAGGUCUAAUCCCUUACACAGCACUUAGGGCAGUUUUAAAGGCCACCAGGGCACAGUGUGGAGCUCCCUUAACUGUUAGGGUGCAGUUUGGUCCAUUUUACAGCCACUGGGGCACAGGCCCGAUUGUUAAGACAAGGGAAAGUAAUCCCUAGAGUCAGGCCACUAAACCUGCUCUGUCCCUGUAACCAUGGCAGCAGACAGGUAGUGUCUGGGUCACAGGGCAAACAUGGCCAGGCUUCAGCAUUGGCCGUCGGUUAAUAAAAAACGAGCGUGGUGUGAAUGCACACGCAUACAGGCAAACAGAAAUUCAAACGUGAACGUACGUGUACCCACAUAAACAUAUGCACUCUUACAGAAACUCACACAUGCAGGUUCAGGUGAAAGCUACCAGCUGACCUGAGAACUGAUACGACCACAGAGCCGUACUGGAUUUCAGGUAAUCAACAGUGGCAGUGGAUAUUCAAGAUGGCUAAAACACCCAAUGAGUCACAGGGACCGUGAAUGGUAAAAAGGGCCAAAAAAUUAUUCCUAGUUUUUGAAAUAGUAAAACAUUUGUAAAGUAAUUCAUUACUUUACAUUUAGUCUCGGACACAAAAAUGAAUCAUCCUUAUAUUCACUCACCAGAAGGGACGAUGGAUAGAGCAGGUAGGGAGGGAACGUAUUAACCUAUAACAGAAGCUGAUUUUUCUUUCACAGGAUGGUCUUUGCCACCAGAGCACUCUCUCUGCCUCUGAGAAUUUUCUUUUAUAAAUAUUAUGGUCUCAUUACAUUACUCCAUUAUUGCAUUAUAUUACAUGUACAGUCUAGGCACUCCUUAAAUACAUAUUUUAAAAAAUAGAAACAUUUCGAGGAACACAUGCUGCUAUCCCAGGCCCCAAAACACUGUCAUCUGAAAUAAAGGCAAUAAAUAAUGAUGCGCUGGGUACGAGAAGAAUCAUCCAGUUGGUCUGUCUUGCCCUUUUGAAAGAAACACAUGAUCUCCCCUGGCCUUUUCUCCAUUUACCAGCUCUCCCUCUCUUUUUUCAGUUGCUAUGAGACACUCCAGCUGAAGCCAAGGCUUCCACAAUUCAUUACUGGAGGAACAAAAGCCAAAGCACUGGACAAAGCAGGGCAGACCAACUCAAACCAGCUCCCACUUAACACACACAUCACACCUCUGAGUGCUCUGCUGACAUACAAAUGGCCAAUUCAAGACCUCUUCUUUUUCCUUUUUCUUUUUUUUUUUUUACAAUGCCCGUGGGAUAGAUGAAGGAAGCGCUCAAGAUACACAGAACGGCAAGUGAGACUGAAGCUGAACUGCAGAGUUGCUGAAGAGUCUCUGAGUAAGACACUCAAUCUGUGACAUCUGACCACUGCAGAGGUUGGAGGUGGUGUCCCUUACGAGGAACAACAAGAACUUCAAUAAUUUUUAUCAGUUUGAAUGUGCAGUUUUAAGGGUUUCAGAGUCUGAGUUUGUUUUUUGUGAGAAAAUAAGUCUCUGACCAAAAAUCCCUAUCUCAUCCUCCAUGUUCAAAAUAUCUGAUAUGAAAGAUGUUUUCAUAAUGAAAUGAGAAAUCUCAGUUCUUUUCUGAAUUCCACAGACAGCAUGAAAGCCGUGCAGUCUGCAGGCGACAACAACAGGUCUUUACAGUAGGUGAAGUUCAGUGCUAGUGGAUCGCAGGAUUUUUUUGUAUUUAUUUUUUUUGCCUCAUACAGAACAGCCCUAGAAACAUAAAAUUCAUUAGAUGCACUUUUAUUUUAGUUUUUUUUACUCAGGGCUCCUUGUAAAUAAACAUACUGUUCUUCAAAUGUUACCGAUCCACACUAGAUAUUGCAUCAUGUGGUACUAAACACACAUUAAAGUCACUUUAAUAUGUA